rnacentral:rRNA from 1 species
UGAGGAACAUGACCUUCGGCGGGGGAUAGCCGGCCCAACGGCCGGGUAAUACCGCGUACGACCACAUGGGGACAUCCCUGAGUGGUGAAAGCAGCAAUGCGCCGAUGGAGUGCCUCGCGGCCUAUCAGCUAGUUGGUGAGGUAACGGCUCACCAAGGCGACGACGGGUANCUGGUCUGAGAGGAUGGCCAGCCACAUUGGGACUGAGACACGGCCCAGACCUGUACCGGGGAG